GACGAACGCUGGCGGCGUGCUUAACACAUGCAAGUCGAACGGAAAGGCCCUGCUUUUGUGGGGUGCUCGAGUCGCGAACGGGUGAGUAACAUGUGAGUAACCUGCCCUUGACUUUGGGAUAACUUCAGGAAACUGGGGCUAAUACCGGAUAGGAGCUCCUGCUGCAUGGUGGGGGUUGGAAAGUUUCGGCGGUUGGGGAUGGACUCGCGGCUUAUCAGCUUGUUGGUGGGGUAGUGGCUUACCAAGGCUUUGACGGGUAGCCGGCCUGAGAGGGUGACCGGCCACAUUGGGACUGAGAUACGGCCCAGACUCCUACGGGAGGCAGCAGUGGGGAAUAUUGCACAAUGGGCGGAAGCCUGAUGCAGCAACGCCGCGUGCGGGAUGACGGCCUUCGGGUUGUAAACCGCUUUCGCCUGUGACGAAGCGUGAGUGACGGUAAUGGGUAAAGAAGCACCGGCUAACUACGUG
rnacentral:rRNA from 1 species